GCCUGCGUGGAUGAACGGACAUCGUCCCUGAUAUGUAAAUCAUUCUCUCAAACUUUCAGGGGAGGUGGAGGUUCGAAUGCUCCCGCGGGCA